GGUUAGAGAAAGAGGGUUAGAGAGAGAGGGUUAGAGAGAGAGAGAGAGAGAGAGAGAGAGGGUUAGAGAAAGAGGGUUAGAGAGAGAGGGUUAGAGAGAGAGAGAGGGUUAGAGAAAGAGGGUUAGAGAGAGAGGGUUAAAGAGAGAGGGUUAGAGAGAGAAAGAGGUAGAGUAAGAGAGGGUUAGAGCGAGCAAGAGAGAGAGGGUUAGAGGGAGAGAGAGGGUUAGAGAGAGGGUUGAGAGAGAGAGAGAGAGAGGGUUAGCGAAAGAGAGAGAGAGGGUUAGAGAAAGAGAAAGAGAGACAGAGAGGGUUAGAGAGAGAGAGAAAGGUAGAGUAAGAGAGGGUUAGAGCGAGCAAGAGAGAGAGGGUUAGAGAGAGAGAGAGGGUUAGAGAGAGGGUUGGAGAGAGAGAGAGAGAGAGAGAGAGGGUUAGAGAAAGAGAGAGAGAGGGUUAGAGAAAGAGAAAGAGAGACAGAGAGGGUUAGAGAGAGAGAGAGAAAGGUAGAGUAAGAGAGGGUUAGAGAGAGAUAGAGAGAGAGAAAGAGAGAGAGAGAAUUUAAUUGGGAGAGGUAGAGUAAGAGAGAGAGGGAGAGAGAGUGAGAGGUAGAGUAAGAGAGAGAGAGAGGGUUACAGAAAGAGGGUUAGAGAGAGAGGGUAGAGAGAGAGAGAGAGAGAGAGAGAGGGGAGGGGUUAGAGAAAGAGGGUUAGAGAGAGAGGGUUAGAGAGAGAGGGUUAGAGAGAGAGGGUUAGAGAGAGAGAGUGGGGGGGUUAGAGAAAGAGGGUUAGAGAGAGAGAGGGUUAGAGAGAGAGGGUUAGAGAGAGAGAGAGAGAGAGAGAGGGUUAGAGAAAGAGGGUUAGAGAGAGAAUGAGAGAGAGAAAGAGGGUUAGAGAGAGGGUUAGAGAAAGAGAGGGUUAGAAGGAGAGAGGGUUAGAGAGAGAGGGUUAGAGAGAGAGGGUUAGAGAGAGGGUUAGAGAGAGGGUUAGAGAGAGAAAGAGGUAGAGUAAGAGAGGGUUAGAGCGAGCAAGAGAGAGAGGGUUAGAGAGAGAGAGAGGGUUAGAGAGAGGGUUGGAGAGAGAGAGAGAGAGGGUUAGAGAAAGAGAGAGAGAGGGUUAGAGAAAGAGAAAGAGAGACAGAGAGGGUUAGAGAGAGAGAAAGAGAGAGAGAUAAUUUAAUUGGGAGAGGUAGAGUAAGAGAGAGAGGGAGAGAGAGGUAGAGUAAGAGAGAGAGGGAGAGAGAGGUAGAGUAAGAGAGAGAGAGGGUUAGAGAGAGAGGGUUAGAGAGAGAGGGUUAGAGAGAGAGAGAGAGAGAGAGAGAGAGAGAGAGAGAGAGAGGGGGAGGGGUUAGAGAAAGAGGGUUAGAGAGAGAGGGUUAGAGAGAGAGAGGGUUAGAGAGAGAGGGAGAGAGAGAGAGAGGGUUAGAGAGAGAGGGUUAGAGAGAGAGAGAGAGAGAGAGAGAGAGGGUUAGAGAGAGAGGGUUAGAGAGAGAGUGUUAGAGAGAGAAAGAGGUAGAGUAAGAGAGGGUUAGAGCGAGCAAGAGAGAGAGGGUUAGAGAGAGAGAGAGAGAGAGGGUUAGAGGGAGGGUUGGAGAGAGAGAGAGAGAGGGUUAGAGAAAGAGAGAGAGAGGGUUAGAGAAAGAGAAAGAGAGACAGAGAGGGUUAGAGAGAGAGAGAAAGGUAGAGUAAGAGAGGGUUAGAGAGAGAUAGAGAGAGAGAAAGAGAGAGAGAGAAUUUAAUUGGGAGACGUAGAGUAAGAGAGAGAGGGAGAGAGAGGUAGAGUAAGAGAGAGGGAGAGAGAGGUAGAGUAAGAGAGAGAGAGAGGGUUAGAGAAAGAGGGUUAGAGAGAGAGGGUUAGAGAGAGAGGGUUAGAGAGAGAGAGGGUUAGAGAGAGAGGGUUAGAGAGAGAGGGUUAGAGAGAGAGAGAGGGGGGUUAGAGAAAGAGGGUUAGAGAGAGAGAGGGUUAGAGAGAGGGUUAGAGAGAGAGAGAGAGAGAGAGAGAGAGAGAGAGAGAGAGAGAAAGAGGGUUAGAGAAAGAGGGUUAGAGAGAGAAUGAGAGAGAGAAAGAGGGUUAGAGAGAGGGUUAGAGAGAGAGGGUUAGAGAGAGGGUUAGAGAGAGAGAGGGUUAGAGAGAGAGGGUUAGAGAGAGAGGGUUAGAGAGAGGGUUAGAGAGAGAGAGAGGGUUAGAGAGAGGGUUAGAGAGAGAGAGGGUUAGAGAGAGAGGGUUAGAGAGAGGGUUAGAGAGAGGGUUAGAGAGAGGGUUAGAGAGAGAGAACAAGAGAGAUAAUGAGAGAGAGAACGAGAGAGAGAAUGAGAGAGAGAACGAGAGCGGGUUAGAGAGAGGGAUAGAGAGGGUUAGUGAGAGGGUUAGAGAGAGAGAGGGUUAGAGAGAGAACGAGAGCGGGUUAGAAAGAGGGUUAGAGAAAGAGAGAGAGAGAAAGAGGUAGAGUAAGA
ensembl:lncRNA